GAGUUCGAGUCUCACAGUGCGUGUUACUUAAUUAUGAUUUUUUUUUCUCUGUGUGCAUUUUCCUAUGUUUUCUUUCAUUUUAUAAAUACAUGUAUAAAUAAUUUUUAAAAGAGAUAUAUAAUACAACAUUGCAUAUUGAAAGUAUCUUGGGGAAAACAGUCUUAAACUAUUUUAAUAACCCAAAGUCAUAGCUGUUAGCCUGUAUUAUUUUUAAAAUUUCAAACAAUCUUGUUUAGAGCAAGUAAAAUUACUGUCAUGCAACAAACUUGCAACUUUGAAAAUAUAACACUGGUUCACAAAUGAUUACAUACAUGGAGUUUGAUUUUGAAUUGAAAAGCUUUGUGUAUAAUCUAUAAGUAGAAACAAGUGAUUUUCUUUUAAUACUUGAGUAGGCCGAAUCGUCUGUAAGGUAGCUAUGGAUCUUUGGUUCUUUGCUUUCUUUCAAUAAGAGUACCAAAUCCUCUGAUGUGCACAUGUAGAGUUGAGUACUGAAUGGGUAGGCAUCAUCUGAUUGGCUGAAUUCAGGUAAGUAAUUAUCUUAGUCUAACACAGUUGGCCGCAGUAGGGUGUCAUCAGUUCAGAAGGUCACAGUACCCAAGACGCUGAGGUUGCAGGACUCAAAUUUCAUACAUGUACUCGGGGUCUGGUCCACUUGGCCACCAGUGGGGAUGGGGACACCAACCCCUGCACAGAGACUUUGGAGUGGGCUGCCCAGACCAUGAUUUGAUGAGUGAGCUGCACUGUGGGUCCGACCAGCAAAGUUUCUUGUGAAAGUAACAUUUCAAGGCAGGGAUCGUCGCAGAGUUCUGUUGAAGCUUUCAACCUUUUGCGAGUUGGUGUUUUUGAUCGUCCUGUCCAGUACAGCUGGAGACAACCUCUUAGAGAUGCAGGCAUGGAGCCUUGCCUCAUUUUCCGUGGAAGACGGUAUUGUAAAACCUUGACCUAAAUAAGAAAUCUUGCUAACCCAGUUAUUUAUUACUUUCCCUUUGCACACCAGAGAAUGUUUUCUGCAUGAUGCAUGGUCUCCCAUGUAACAUUUCACAAUUGCAAGUUUGGCAUAUGAGAGCUUGUUUUUUAAUUUAUCUGCAUCUCCAGCAUAUGUACUGCAUGAGCUUGAUUAAUCUCAGCUGUACAUCUGUCAACAGCAUCUAGGGCAAAAUUAUGCAAAAGUUUGGUGUUUUUCUGCUUUAAUUGGUUCUCUUUGGCAUAACCUCUGAAAGUUUCUGAUCUCUUUUAAUUGACUUUCUGAUUGACUUGGACAAGUGUCGAGUGUCAAUAUAGUGAACUGGGAUAUUUUGCAGCAGAUUGUCCUUAUAGAGGGAAUCUGCAGCUCAACCAACAGAGCUGUCCAUGUCAAUGAUUACCUUGAGUCCAUCUUUGCAGAGGAGUUCCGCCAUCCCCUCCCGAGUCCAAGUGAAGUCAUCCUGAAUGGUAUGGUGCAUGGGUAGAUUUGCCCCACACACCCCCCAGGACUACACUGAUGGUUUGAAGUGCCCUCAUCAAAGACUUUCUCGUAGGAGGGGGAGUGUUGGUAGAAGGAAAGAUUUUCCUCAUUCCAUCAUUGCCUAUAGGGGUUUGACUAAGGCCAACUUGAAGCACAUAGUUAACAGUGGCAGCUUUCCUACCUGGGGAUUUGGUCUCUACCUCCUCAUACAGAUUGUACCGCCUUGAUACAUAUAGACACUUGGUACAUUGAAGGCCCAUCCGGCUUCCCAGACCACGCCUCUCAUCAAAUGCCAGAUCUCACUCAAGCGUUCCAUCGCACCCCGUAUUCCCUUGCAGGUGGAGAGAGAUCACCUCAUUCCAGAUCUCGGCUGUUUUCUCAAGGUGUAGCAGUAAAUAGGAAUUUUGAUUAGCCAAUCUUAGUAAGGCCAAAUAAAAUUGAAAUCUUGGUUCUCAGGCCCGCCCGCAUCUGUUUUGAGGUAACCGCAUUGCUGAUUUUAUUGUUUUUUUGAUAAAAUAAAAAGUUGAUAUUGCGGAGACCAAUCCGGGAAAAUAAUUUCCGACCUCAUUUGUUUUGUAGUUUAGUAUUCAAAUAUCACUUCCGGUAGCAAUUUACAAUGAGAUUUUGGCUCCUUCGCUUGAAAAUACAUUCAAGGACAUUACCUACGAUAUUUACGUUGUUAAGCAAUGGAUAAAGCAGUAAUUUUGACCAGAAAUGGAAAGUAUAUCUGUAAUUUAAAAAAUUAUCUUUAUGUUUAAGAAAAUUCGGAAAUUAAAAAUUAAAAAAAUACCUCCCUCAUCUAAUUUUUUGCCAUUUAAAUGAAAAAUAAAAUGCCGCCCUCCCGCAUCUGUUUUGGAGAAAGUUGGCCUGAGAACCAAGGAAUUAAAUUUACAUAGCCUAAAUAUACCAUUUUUCAUUUGCUUGAGACAGAUGGAAGUUUUCAGUACAUGAGAGCACAUAUUAGAGUUACUUCCCUUAGACUGUCUGACAAGACAUAAGAAAUUUUAACAUCAUAUAAAUUUAAUUCUUUGAAAUGAAUGCUUCUGAUUUCUUUUCUUAUGUACCUAUAUGACUUUCAACUGCAUGUAUUACAUUUUACUUUGCAUGUAUUAAUUUACAUUUAUUUACUUGUAAUAGUAUGUAAUAUGUAUCCUACCCUAGUAUUGUCCAUUUUUUCCCAUAUUUAGUUAUAUGAAAGGUAAGUAAGACUUGAUUUGUUAGAAUUUUUAUGAACUAUUGCUCAAUUAUAAAUGUUUUAUACAAAAUUUGACUUACUGUUCUGAUUCAUUUGUAUUUAGGCACUUUGGAGGGCUUUCAACUUUCGGUCCCUUCGGCCUAAGGAGAUAGUGGCACAUGCGCCGCACGAGCAUUUCCUGCCCUUCCGCAGCUAUAGGAGUUUCUGAAACCAUCUGAUGCAUCUGCUGGGACAGUCUGUUGUACCGUGCAGAACUGUUUUUCAAGAAAAGUAAAAAAGGAAACGGCUGUUGAUGUUGAACAACUCCCUUGAACCAACUUUAUCUUUCCCACUUUUCUUCAAAGUGAAAUGAAUGAAUAUCAUUGAGUGAAAGAGUUAAACUUUUGAAAAGAUUUCUGAUUUUAAUUAAAUGGCAGAUGUUUUAAGUUCACCAUUCACUUUUGCCAUAUUUUAUGGUGCUAAUUAAACAUAGAAAUGACCCUGUCGUAAAAAGGAAUAGGCUUAUAAUGAUAACCAUUUUUGUUAGUCAUUCUAUUUUUCCAACAUACUAUUAUAUGUAAUUAGUUUUCUGGAUUUUAUACAUGUAUAUAGAUAAUAUGCUAAUUUAAUAAAGAUGAC